GGAUGUGUAGCUCAGUGGCAGAUCAUCUGCCUCGCAUGCAGAAGGUCCCAGGUUCAAUCUCCAGUGGUGUCUCCA